GCAAGUCGAGCGAGAAUUUAUUUGAUGGAGACUCCGGUCAAAGCCAAAUUAAGGAAAGCGGCGGACGGGUGAGUAACGCGUGGGCAACCUGCCCUGUAUAAAGGGAUAGCCACUGGAAACGGUGAUUAAUACCUUAUAAGACUACAGGAACACAUGUUUCGGUAGCCAAAGCUCCGGCGAUACAGGAUGGGCCCGCGUUUGAUUAGCUAGUUGGUGAGGUAAUGGCUCACCAAGGCGACGAUCAAUAGCCGACCUGAGAGGGUGAUC
rnacentral:rRNA from 1 species